rnacentral:misc_RNA from 1 species
GAUGAAGAACGUAGCGAAAUGCGAUAAGUAAUGUGAAUUGCAGAAUUCAGUGAAUCAUCGAAUCUUUGAACGCACAUUGCGCCCAUUAGUAUUCUAGUGGGCAUGCCUGUUCGAGCGUCAUUAAGUCCACUUAAGCCCUGCUUAGUGUUGGGAGACUGCUCCAGCGGUGCUACCCUGUAGCUACCCUGCAGCUCCUCAAAGACAGCGGCGGAGUCGUGGUAUCCUCUGAGCUUAGUAACUUGUUCUAGCUUUCGAGUACACCACUUCCCCUGCCGUAAAACCCUUAAUUUUUAAUGGUUGACCUCGGAUCAGGUAGGAAUACCCGCUGAACUUAAGCAUAUCAAUAAGCGGAGGA